GACGAACGCUGGCGGCGUGCUUAACACAUGCAAGUCGAACGGAAAGGCCCUGCUUUUGCGGGGUGCUCGAGUGGCGAACGGGUGAGUAACACGUGAGUAACCUGCCCUUGACUUUGGGAUAACUUCAGGAAACUGGGGCUAAUACCGGAUAGGAGCUCCUGCUGCAUGGUGGGGGUUGGAAAGUUUCGGCGGUUGGGGAUGGACUCGCGGCUUAUCAGCUUGUUGGUGGGGUAGUGGCUUACCAAGGCUUUGACGGGUAGCCGGCCUGAGAGGGUGACCGGCCACAUUGGGACUGCGAUACGGCCCAGACUCCUACGGGAGGCAGCAGUGGGGAAUAUUGCACAAUGGGCGGAAGCCUGAUGCAGCAACGCCGCGUGCGGGAUGAAGGCCUUCGGGUUGUAAACCGCUUUCGCCUGUGACGAAGCGUGAGUGACGGUAAUGGGUAAAGAAGCACCGGCUAACUACGUG
rnacentral:rRNA from 1 species